CAGCAGCCGCGGUAAGACGUAGGGCGCGAGCGUUGUCCGGAUUUAUUGGGUUUAAAGGGUGCGUAGGCGGCUUUUUAAGUCAGUGGUGAAAUCCUGCAGCUUAACUGUAGAACAGCCAUUGAUACUGAAGAGCUUGAGUACAGACGAGGUAGGCGGAAUUUAUGGUGUAGCGGUGAAAUGCAUAGAUACCAUAAAGAACACCUAUUGCGAAGGCAGCUUACUAGGCUGUAACUGACGCUGAGGCACGAAAGCGUGGGGAUCA
rnacentral:rRNA from 1 species